rnacentral:rRNA from 1 species
UGGGGAAUCUUGGACAAUGGGCGCAAGCCUGAUCCAGCCAUGCCGCGUGAGCGAUGAAGGCCUUCGGGUUGUAAAGCUCUUUCGUGGGGGAAGCUGUACCCCAAGAAGAAGCCCCGGCUAACUCCGUGCCAGCAGCCGCGGUAAUACGGAGGGGGCUAGCGUUGUUCGGAAUUACUGGGCGUAAAGCGCACGUAGGCGGACCAGAAAGUCAGGGGUGAAAUCCCGGGGCUCAACCCCGGAACUGCCUUUGAAACUUCUGGUCUUGAGGUCGAGAGAGGUGAGUGGAAUUCCGAGUGUAGAGGUGAAAUUCGUAGAUAUUCGGAGGAACACCAGUGGCGAAGGCGGCUCACUGGCUCGAUACUGACGCUGAGGUGCGAAAGCGUGGGGAGCAAACAGGAUUAGAUACCCCUGUAGU